CAACUAUAUUUAUAAUGUUGAAUGACUUAUGGGUAAAAUGAAUUGAGACGAUAGGAUAACUAUACGUACAAGAUCAAUAUCAGUUCAGCUUUCUAUUUCUCGUCGUGCAAAAAUAGACACGUGGUCACUGUGCAUUGCGCGGUCGACCAGUCGAAACACGACCCGAAUUGGCGAUCUGAAAUGCAAUUGAUUUUGUACUUGUAAGACCAGGUUUUUACGGGAGUG